UACGUAGGGUGCGAGCGUUAAUCAAAAUUACUGGGCGUAAAGCGUGCGCAGGCGGUUCGUUGUGUCGGCGGUGAAAGCCCCGGGCUCAACCUGGGAAUGGCCGUUGAAACUGGCGAACUGGAGUGUGGCAGAGGGGGGUGGAAUUCCGCGUGUAGCAGUGAAAUGCGUAGAGAUGCGGAGGAACACCGAUGGCGAAGGCAGCCCCCUGGGCUGACACUGACGCUCAGGCACGAAAGCGUGGGGAGCAAACAGG
rnacentral:rRNA from 1 species